AUUGAACGCUGGCGGCAUGCCUUACACAUGCAAGUCGAACGGCAGCACGGGUGCUUGCACUUGGUGGCGAGUGGCGAACGGGUGAGUAAUACAUCGGAACAUGUCCUGUAGUGGGGGAUAGCCCGGCGAAAGCCGGAUUAAUACCGCAUACGAUCUACGGAUGAAAGCGGGGGACCUUCGGGCCUCGCGCUAUAGGGUUGGCCGAUGGCUGAUUAGCUAGUUGGUGGGGUAAAGGCCUACCAAGGCGACGAUCAGUAGCUGGUCUGAGAGGACGACCAGCCACACUGGGACUGAGACACGGCCCAGACUCCUACGGGAGGCAGCAGUGGGGAAUUUUGGACAAUGGGCGAAAGCCUGAUCCAGCAAUGCCGCGUGUGUGAAGAAGGCCUUCGGGUUGUAAAGCACUUUUGUCCGGAAAGAAAUCCUUGGCCCUAAUACGGUCGGGGGAUGACGGUACCGGAAGAAUAAGCACCGGCUAACUACGUG
rnacentral:rRNA from 1 species